rnacentral:tRNA from 1 species
CAAAUUGAAGCUUUAUAGAAGCUUUUUAUUUACAUUAAGAUUAUUACUGUUUAAUUCGGUGCAAUUUGU